rnacentral:rRNA from 1 species
AAAUUGAAGAGUUUGAUCAUGGCUCAGAUUGAACGCUGGCGGCAGGCCUAACACAUGCAAGUCGAACGGUAACAGGAAGCAGCUUGCUGCUUCGCUGACGAGUGGCGGACGGGUGAGUAAUGUCUGGGAAACUGCCUGAUGGAGGGGGAUAACUACUGGAAACGGUAGCUAAUACCGCAUAACGUCGCAAGACCAAAGAGGGGGACCUUCGGGCCUCUUGCCAUCAGAUGUGCCCAGAUGGGAUUAGCUUGUUGGUGGGGUAACGGCUCACCAAGGCGACGAUCCCUAGCUGGUCUGAGAGGAUGACCAGCCACACUGGAACUGAGACACGGUCCAGACUCCUACGGGAGGCAGCAGUGGGGAAUAUUGCACAAUGGGCGCAAGCCUGAUGCAGCCAUGCCGCGUGUAUGAAGAAGGCCUUCGGGUUGUAAAGUA